rnacentral:misc_RNA from 1 species
GAGAGUAACAUGAAUGAUCUGGUAUCUGAAUAUCAGCAGUACCAGGACGCCACUGCUGAUGAUGAGGGAGAAUAUUACGAGGAGGAAGAUGAAGAGGAUGUCAAUGAGAAUUAAACCCCAACUUCCUGUUGAUGUUCUUUCGGCAAUUGCAAUGUAAUGUAAUGUGUCUUGAUAGCGAGUGCUAUCCUGUAAUAUUUUUUGUUGUUGUUACUUAAUUAUUCUGGUGUUUUGUGACUAUUAAGUUUCUAUUGCUAUUUAGAGUAGGCUCUCU